UCUCCAUCUGCCACUGAAAGGAAGUACGAGGAGACCCAAACCCAGUCAGGUCGGCGGGGUAAGUGCAGCUGAUCUACAGAUACUGUAACCCAGGGCCGUGUCUAAGCGAGCAUUGCAGGAUUCCACCCUGGAAAAGGCCAAGAGAUAGGAAACAAUUGACGGUGGGUCGUGUGAACCGGAGAGCCUCGUCGAACGUUGAGGCUUUGAGGAGGCAAUCGUUGAGGUGUCUGGAGACCUAAAGACCGGAGGGUUGCCCUUGAGUCCUUCAUUGAAUGAAGCACAUCGUUCGUGGUAGAAGCAAAAAGUUUGUCACCGUCGAAGGGAAGAUCUUCAAUGGUGCUCUAAACUUCUCGAGGAAAAAAAGAGGAGGAGAGCCAUGAACCCCGUCGCAUGACUACUGCUGUCGCGGUCGAUCUUGCUGCAGUGUUGGCUACAUCGAGGGCCGCUUGAAGAGCGGUGCGUGAUAUGCUUUGUCCCUCGGAAACCAGAGCUGUGAAAUGUUGUUUUUUCUGUUCUGGAAUGUCAUCAAUAAAAUCCAUG